AUUGAACGCUGGCGGCAGGCCUAACACAUGCAAGUCGAGCGGAUGAAGGGAGCUUGCUCCUGGAUUCAGCGGCGGACGGGGGAGUAAUGCCUAGGAAUCUGCCUGGUAGUGGGGGAUAACGUCCGGAAACGGGCGCUAAUACCGCAUACGUCCUGCGGGAGAAAGUGGGGGAGCUUCGGACCUCAGGCUAUCAGAUGAGCCUAGGUCGGAUUAGCUAGUUGGUGGGGUAAGGGCCUACCAAGGCGACGAUCCGUAACUGGUCUGAGAGGAUGAGCAGUCACACUGGAACUGAGACACGGUCCAGACUCCUACGGGAGGCAGCAGUGGGGAAUAUUGGACAAUGGGCGAAAGCCUGAUCUAGCCAUGCCGCGUGUGUGAAGAAGGUCUUCGGAUUGUAAAGCACUUUAAGUUGGGAGGAAGGGCAGUAAGUUAAUACCUUGCUGUUUUGACGUUACCAACAGAAUAAGCACCGGCUAACUUCGUG
rnacentral:rRNA from 1 species